GCCGGGGUGGCGAAAUGGCAGACGCAGCGGGCUUAAACCCCGCGGGUGGCAACACCGUGAGGGUUCGACCCCCUCUCCCGGCACCA
rnacentral:tRNA from 1 species